AAUCACUUGUCUUUUAAAUGGGGACCUGUAUGAAUGGCAUAACGAGGGCUAAACUGUCUCCUUUCUCCAGUCAAUGAAAUUGAUCUGUCCGUGCAGAAGCGGGCAUGCACACAUAAGACGAGAAGACCCUAUGAAGCUUUAGACAUAAAAUGCAGGCCACGUUAAAAACCCAGGGCCAACAGGAACGAACUUAAGCGGACACUGUCAUUUGUCUUUGGUUGGGGCGACCACGGGGAAAAGUAAAACCCCCGAGAGGAACGGAGCACCCUCACCCAAGGUAAGGCCCGCAGGCCUAACCCCCAGAAAAUCUGACCACCAGAUCCGGCACACAGCCGAUCAACGGACCCAGUUACUCUAGGGAUAACAGCGCAAUCCCCUUUUAGAGCCCACAUCGACAAGGGGGUUUACGACCUCGAUGUUGGAUCAGGACCUCCUAAUGGUGCAGCCGCUAUUAAGGGUUCGUUUGUUCAACGAUUAAAGUCCU
rnacentral:rRNA from 1 species